rnacentral:rRNA from 1 species
GACGAACGCUGGCGGCGUGCUUAACACAUGCAAGUCGAACGAUGAAGCCGGAGCUUGCUCUGGUGAAUUAGUGGCGAACGGGUGAGUAACACGUGAGUAACCUGCCCUUGACUCUGGGAUAACUGCGGGAAACUGUAGCUAAUACCGGAUACGACCCUCGGAGGCAUCUCCCGGGGGUGGAAAGAAUUUCGGUCAAGGAUGGACUCGCGGCCUAUCAGCUAGUUGGUGAGGUAAAGGCUCACCAAGGCGACGACGGGUAGCCGGCCUGAGAGGGUGACCGGCCACACUGGGACGGAGACACGGCCCAGACUCCUACGGGAGGCAGCAGUGGGGAAUAUUGCACAAUGGGCGCAAGCCUGAUGCAGCAACGCCGCGUGAGGGAUGGCGGCCUUCGGGUUGUAAACCUCUUUUAGCAGGGAAGAAGCGAAAGUGACGGUACCUGCAGAAAAAGCACCGGCUAACUACGUGCCAGCCGCCGCCGUAA